GUCGUACCUUUGAGGGUUCCGAUCUAGACAUACGAAGGUCCGACGCUGAUCCGACGACCCUCGUUAUUGAUCGCCUGGCUUUGACAAACCCAACCCAUACUUAAGAGACCUCGAUUCAGGUCUUUAGAGGCUAUCCAACUCUUGAGGGCCUUCGAUAUAAACCUGGGUUGAGAUUGCUGUGGCUCUCUAUGUUCACUGUGGCUAUCUGUGAGGCUGUGGUAUCUACUAUUGAGGCUGAUUGAGAUUGCUGACCAUGUGCUGUUAAGGCUGUGUUGGGAUCUGUUGAUUGUGUGUGUAUCGUGUGCUGUGCCCAUGUGUUGGGAUAUGUUGAUCUAUUGAGGCUGUGAAGCUGUGUUGGGAUAUGUUGAUCUAUCGAAGCUCUAUUGAUCUGUUGAGGCUGUGAAAGCUUUGUUUCUAC
rnacentral:lncRNA from 1 species